AUUGAACGCUGGCGGCAGGCCUAACACAUGCAAGUCGAGCGCGCGGCGGACGUGUGAGUAAUGUAUGGGGAUCCGCCCGAUAGAGGGGGAUAACUACUGGAAACGGUGGCUAAUACCGCAUACUAUCGGAUGCACCCAUAUGGGAUUAGCUAGUAGGUGGGGUAACGGCUCACCUCGGCGACGAUCUCUAGCUGGUCUGAGAGGAUGAUAAGACACACUGGGACUGAGACACGGCCCAGAGUCCUACGGGAGGCAGCAGUGGGGAAUAUUGCACGAUGGGCGCAAGCCUGAUGCAGCCAUGCCGCGUGUGUGAAGAAGGCCUUAGGGUUGUAAAGUACUUUCAGCGGGGAGGCGUUACCCGCAGAAGAAGCACCGGCUAACUCCGUGCCAGCAGCCGCGGUAAUUC
rnacentral:rRNA from 1 species